GGCUCAGGAUGAACGCUAGCGGCAGGCCUAACACAUGCAAGUCGAGGGGUAACAGGGUAGCAAUAUCGCUGACGACCGGCGCACGGGUGAGUAACGCGUAUGCAACCUUCCUUUAACUGGGGGAUAGCCCGGAGAAAUUCGGAUUAAUACCCCAUAAGAUCACAGAAAGGCAUCUUUUAGUGAUUAAAGCUCCGGCGGUUAAAGAUGGGCAUGCGUGCCAUUAGCUAGUUGGUGAGGUAACGGCUCACCAAGGCUACGAUGGUUAGGGGGUCUGAGAGGAUGAUCCCCCACACUGGUACUGAGACACGGACCAGACUCCUACGGGAGGCAGCAGUGAGGAAUAUUGGGCAAUGGGCGCAAGCCUGACCCAGCCAUGCCGCGUGAAGGAUGAAUGCCCUAUGGGUUGUAAACUUCUUUUGUACGGGACAAAACUCCAGGUCGUGACCAGGAUUGAUGGUACCGUACGAAUAAGCAUCGGCUAACUCCGUGCCAGCAGCCGCGGUAAUACGGAGGAUGCGAGCGUUAUCCGGAUUUAUUGGGUUUAAAGGGUGCGUAGGCGGAAUUAUAAGUCAGUGGUGAAAGCCUGCGGCUUAACCGUAGAAUUGCCAUUGAUACUGUUAUUCUUGAGUAUAGUUGAAGUGGGCGGAAUGUGUAAUGUAGCGGUGAAAUGCUUAGAUAUUACACAGAACACCAAUUGCGAAGGCAGCUCACUAAGCUGUUACUGACGCUGAGGCACGAAAGCGUGGGGAGCAAACAGGAUUAGAUACCCUGGUAGUCCACGCUGUAAACGAUGAUCACUCGUUGUUGGCGAUACACUGUCAGCGACUGAGCGAAAGCAAUAAGUGAUCCACCUGGGGAGUACGGCGGCAACGCU
rnacentral:rRNA from 1 species